CAGAAGGAAGUGUCCUCCAGCUGAAGCUGCUGUAGGAUGAGCGCAGGACUGUUUGAAAACUAGGUUGAGAUUGCAAUCUUCAAUGAUUUCUGGUGAAACUGAAGGGCUUACCACGCUGGAUUCUGCAGCAGUCUGUCUCAGACAAACACUGCUCACUGUUCUCAGCAGGGACUCGGAAGAUGGAAACGGAGACUGCGCUUAUUAAAUCUGCAAAUUCUAGCAAGCUGGGAGAGACUGCAAGUGCGUAGUAUGAAUUUGGAAAGUGAUCUGAAAAGAAAUGCAGCUUGUUGGGAGUGAAGGCUUUGCAAUUAUUUGAUGGUCUGACCGAUGAGCAUUCACAGAAGAGAAUGAGAAGAAGGAAUUGACUUUCACAGACAAGCAAAAAAGGCUUCAGAGUCUUCAAGCUGGAAGAUAAGAGGAUCUGCAUCCCUGGAGACAAGUGAAGGAACAGAACAGUGUCUAACAGAAAAAUGUUUUGGCUGUUAUCGAUAACUUAUUUUCUCCAGCUGCGAGUGCAAAAUAGCAACUGAAGGUCAGAACUUUGACAGCUCACCUGAUGAAAAUGAAGAGAUCCAAUGAAGAAAAAGGGAGACCUCAGACUCUAAUCUUGCAGUUGGCCCAGAGUGACUCACAGGGAGUGGGGGCUUGGAUUGUGAGGCUAUAAUUAUCCAAGUUUUUUUCCACUGAAGAGGGGUCCCUCUUCAGAAGGCACCA